GAUGAACGCUGGCGGCGUGCCUAAUACAUGCAAGUCGAGCGAACGGACGAGACGCUUGCUUCUCUGAUGUUAGCGGCGGACGGGUGUGUAACACGUGGAUCACCCACCUAUAAGUCUGGGAUAACUUCGGGAAACCGGAGCUAAUACCGGAUAAUCUUUUGAACCGUAUGGUUCAAAAGUGAAAUACGGUCUUGCUGGCACUUAUAGAUGGAUCCGCGCUGCAUUAGCUAGUUGGUAAGGUAACGGCUUACCAAGGCAACGAUGCAUAGCCGACGUGACAGGGUGAUAGGCCACACGGGAGCGGAGACACGGUCCAGGCUCCUACGAGAGGCAGCAGUAGGGUAUCGUCCGCAAUAGUGGAAAGCCUGACGGAGCGACGCCGCGUGAGAUAUAAAAGUCUUCGGAUCGUAAAACUGUGUUAUUAGGUGAGAACAGAUGUGGAAGUAACUGAACAGUGCGUGACGGUACCUAAUCAGAAAGCCACGGCUAACUACGUG
rnacentral:rRNA from 1 species